GAAAUCACAUGAGUCAUGCUUUAUGUUGGUGAUUGUGAUAACGUAAGGGAAAAAAAUGAUAUUACCUUACUAUUAGUGUUGUCCAAAACUGGUGCCAGAAGACUCGGUAAGGCCAGAGACGCAAACGUUAGUCGUCCUAAUCAGGCGUAAAGGGUGUGUAGGCUGCUUUAAAAGUUAUAUUUUACAAAAGCUCUUUUUACGAAAUCUAUUAAUAAAAUAUUCGUUCUAAGGUAAAUAUAUAAUUAAUUAAAGCUAGGAUCAAAUUGAGGAUAAGCCAAAUAAUACUCAGAGUAGGGAUUAAAUCCGCAGAUACUGAGGGGAAUACUAAAGGUGAAAGCUUUUUAUCCAUUAAUGAUUGACGCUGAGAAACGAAGGUGAGACUUAGGAAAUAGGAUUAGAUACCCAGAUACCUCUCACUGUCAACGAUGAAUGGUGGUUGUUAGUUUUUAAUAAAAACUGGUAACGAUGUUAACACGAUAACCAUUCCGCCUUGCGAGUACGGUUGCAAAACUGAAACCAAAAAAAUUAGUCGGUCU
rnacentral:rRNA from 1 species